UUUUACCCUAACGUAGUCCAUCGGAUAGCAUCCGAAGCGCAUUGGAGGAAUAAUAUUGGCUCUUUUAUCCAACUCCUACUCCGGACACGUCCCAGUUUCUUGCAUGAGUGGUUAACACCGGUCAUCACAUAUCCAAGCUUAGGUACACAGACCUAUUACAUCCUCUCGAGCGUAUGGUUACACAAGGCAAAUCUGGAGGGG
rnacentral:ribozyme from 1 species